rnacentral:ncRNA from 7 species
GGGUCGAUGCCCGAGCGGUUAAUGGGGACGUACUAUAAAUAUGUCUACGCUGGUUCAAAUCUAGCUCACCCA